rnacentral:ncRNA from 1 species
AGCAAUAUGAUUUAUUCCCAUUGCUCUACAUGCCAAAGUGAAGAAAUUAAACCAAGAGAAAGUAAAUGGAGGGAGUAACUAUCACUAUCUUAAGGUAGCCAAAUUCCUCACCAUAUAAUUAGUGACGUGCAUGAAUGGAUCAUUAAUGAUAUUCCCCACUGUCCCUAGCUACUAUAUUCUAGAGAAACCAUAUCCAAGGGAAUGGGUUUGGAAGAAUUAGCGAGGGAGGAAGACCCUCAUAGUGAUCUUGAAUCUAGUCCUAACCCAUUCAUAGUUUGGGA